CUUCCCUUCCACCCCUAAUCCCCUUCCCCCUACACUCUGAGUCUCUUUGAACUCCCCCACCCCCACUCCAAACCCCAUCCUACCAUCAUCAUCAGUUCCCAACAAAAAUUAAACCUACUACUUUCAUAGCUUCUUCUCAACUCAAAGUAACAAGUUUACACAAACAUACAAACACAACAGAAAAUCAUAGAACAACCUACUAUUUCUUCUUCUUUCCCACCCUCUCCUUCGAUCAUUGGGUGAGUUACUAUGAGGAGGAACAGUGUUCUAUUAUUGUAAUCUCUCAUUGCGCUUGCCACUUAUUUCUCUCUCCGAUUUUCAGCUCAAACUACUCCUGCAGGGCCAUUGAUUAACCAUCUUUCUUCACUUCUCAAAUGGACAAGGUCUAGUGCCUCCAAGACGCCAAAUUCAGAUGGGAGUGUUCUUCAAUUUGGUAGGAGGAAGGGGAUUGGGGGUGGGAGGGAAGAGAGCGAAGAAGAGAUGCUGGGGAGU